rnacentral:rRNA from 1 species
CCUACGGGAGGCAGCAGUAGGGAAUAUUGCUCAAUGGGCGAAACCCUGAAGCAGCAACGCCGCGUGAAGGAUGAAGGUUUCCGGAUUGUAAACUCUGUUUGUUAGAGAGGAAAAUGACGGUACCUAACGAAUAAGCACCGGCUAACUCCGUGCCAGCAGCCGCGGUAAUACGGAGGGUGCAAGCGUUAUUCGGAAUCACUGGGCGUAAAGAGUGCGUAGGCGGGAUAGAAAGUCAGAUGGGAAAGGCUAUGGCUUAACCAUAGCACUGCAUUGGAUACUGUGAUGCUGGAGUGUGGGAGAGGGAGGUGGAAUUCCUGGUGUAGGGGUGAAAUGCGUAGAGAUCAAGAGGAAUA